rnacentral:rRNA from 1 species
GACGGAGGGUGCAAGCGUUGUUCGGAUUGACUGGGCGUAAAGGGCGUGUAGGCGGUUUGUCAAGUCGGGUGUGAAAGCCUGGGGCUCAGCCUCAGAAGUGCAUCCGAAACUAGCGAGCUGGAGCGCGAUAGGGGAGGGUGGAAUUCCUGGUGUAGCGGUGAAAUGCGUAGAUAUCAGGAGGAACACCGGCGGCGAAGGCGGCUCUCUGGACGGUGACUGACGCUGAGACGCGAAAGCGUGGGGAGCAAACAGG